UAAAAACCCCCGGGGGUUUUAAAAACCCCCGGGGGUUUUCCCCCUUUUGGGGGAAAAAGGGGGCCCCCAAAAAAUUUUCCCCCGGGGGAAAAAUUUUCCCCCGGGGGAAAAAUUUUGGGGGUUUUAAAAACCCCCAAAAAGGGGGCCCCCUUUUAAAAACCCCCGGGGGUUUUAAAAACCCCCGGGGGUUUUCCCCCUUUUGGGGGAAAAAGGGGGCCCCCAAAAAU
rnacentral:ncRNA from 1 species